AGAACGAACGCUGGCGGCAGGCUUAACACAUGCAAGUCGAACGCUCGUAGCAAUACGGGAGUGGCAGACGGGUGAGUAACGCGUGGGAACAUACCCUCCGGUUCGGAAUAGCUCAGGGAAACUUGGAUUAAUACCGGAUACGGCCGAGAGGCGAAAGAUUUAUCGCCGGAGGAUUGGCCCGCGUUCGAUUAGCUAGUUGGUGAGGUAACGGCUCACCAAGGCGAUGAUCGAUAGCUGGUCUGAGAGGAUGAUCAGCCACAUUGGGACUGAGACACGGCCCAAACUCCUACGGGAGGCAGCAGUGGGGAAUAUUGGACAAUGGGCGCAAGCCUGAUCCAGCCAUGCCGCGUGAGUGAUGACGGCCUUAGGGUUGUAAAGCUCUUUCGCUCGGGACGAUAAUGACGGUACCGAGAUAAGGAAGCCCCGGCUAACUUCGCGCCAGCAGCCGC
rnacentral:rRNA from 1 species